GACGAACUGCCCAAACGUUGUUCGGAAUCACUGGGCUUAAAGGGCGCGUAGGCGGCGAAUCAAGUCAGGGGUGAAAUCCGGCAGCUUAACUGUCGAAGUGCCUUUGAUACUGGUUUGCUCGAGGGAGGUAGGGGUGUGUGGAACUUCUGGUGGAGCGGUGAAAUGCGUUGAUAUCAGAAGGAACGCCGGUGGCGAAAGCGACGCACUGGACCUCUUCUGACGCUGAGGCGCGAAAGCUAGGGGAGCAAACGGG
rnacentral:rRNA from 1 species